GUGAGGAAUAUUGGACAAUGGGCGCAAGCCUGAUCCAGCCAUACCGCGUGCAGGAAGACGCAUCUAUGGUGUGUAAACUGCUUUUGUACGGGAAGAAACACUCCCUCGUGAGGGAGCUUGACGGUACCGUAAGAAUAAGGAUCGGCUAACUCCGUGCCAGCAGCCGCGGUAAUACGGAGGAUCCAAGCGUUAUCCGGAAUCAUUGGGUUUAAAGGGUCCGUAGGCGGUUUAAUAAGUCAGUGGUGAAAGCCCAUCGCUCAACGAUGGAACGGCCAUUGAUACUGUUAGACUUGAAUUACAAGGAAGUAACUAGAAUAUGUAGUGUAGCGGUGAAAUGCUUAGAUAUUACAUGGAAUACCAAUUGCGAAGGCAGGUUACUACUUGUGGAUUGACGCUGAUGGACGAAAGCGUGGGGAGCGAACAGGAUUAGAAACCCGAGUAGUCC
rnacentral:rRNA from 1 species